rnacentral:lncRNA from 10 species
UUGUAUAUAUUUUGCUGCUGGCUUUCCCUCUGUUCCUUUAAGUAUGCACGGGCAUGUGUGUGCACCUGCUGUAAGCCUACUUCUGUCGCUGCUGGCUGAUCUUGCCAUGGGCCCAUCCAUCCACAGGAUUUGCAACACACUCAGCUCUGGCUCCGUGCCUCCAUUUCUCACACCCACCUUCAUUUUUACCUAAUACUUGCCCUUUUUUUCCUCUUCCCUAAGACCCCCUAGAUCUAUAUUUUGUGCUUUCUGAUCCAUUAAUCUUAAGUACCCUAAUGAAGCUUCUAUCCCAUAAGUCGCUUAUCUCUCUGGAGAAUAUUAGCCCAAAUCUUAUAGUUGACCCUUAAAUGACAUGGAUUUGAACUGCACAGCUCUACUCAUGCAGAAAUUUUUUUCAAACAGAUAAAAAACACAGUAUUCAUGGGAUGCGAAACAUGCAUAUACAAAGGCCCAACUUUCUCAUACCCAGGGGUUCCACAGAACUGACUUUGGGGACUUAAAAAUGUAUGGAUUUUGGUAUGUGCAGGACAGGGUUGUAGGGUCCUGGAACCCAUCCCCCAUGUAUACAAGGGACAAAUGUGAAUUAUUUGACCUAAGAUAAUGACUUUCUGAUACAGAUUGCUGGAAUUUUCUUUCAUUAACAGUGCCAUAUCUGAAUGAUGGAUCACAGAUUUUGAAAACAGCCCUACUGUAUUUCUACUCACUCAUGCAAUAUCCCAGAAUCAAACGGUGUUUGAUAAAUGCCAUUUACCUCUGAAGGGCUUCUUUCCCCAGCAGGAAGUCAGGCUUUCCUCUUGGGCACUACUAUAGUAUCCUGCUAAGACAUCAUAAUGUGCUGCAAUUACUUGUUUUCAUGUUUAUUUCCUUUGAGACUGAGCUCUUUUAGAAUCUUUUAUAGAUUCAGUGCACAGUACUGAGACUAAAUAUGGAUUAUAAUAGGACCUUCCUUUUGUGGUUCUUAGAAUUAAAUUAAGUGCAUGUAAAGCAUCUGCAGUGUUGUAGAUGUCCAAUAAACAUCAGCUGCUAUUGUUAAUAGUAUUAAUUUAAUAAAACUUG